CAACUUAUAAGCCUUUCAUGGGUCUAUAAGCUUGGACUUGGAGGCCUGUCGGCGGUCAACGUCGGCUCCUCUCAAAUGUAUUAGCUUGGUUCCUUGCGGAUCGGCUCCCGGUGUGAUAAUGUCUACGCUGUGACCGUGAAGCGUUUGGCGAGCUUCUAA
rnacentral:misc_RNA from 1 species